UACGUAGGGGGCAAGCGUUGUCCGGAUUUAUUGGGCGUAAAGAGCUCGUAGGCGGUUCCGUAAGUCGAGUGUGAAAAAUCUGGGCUCAACCCAGUGGAGCACUCGAUACUGCGGUGACUGGAGUACGGUAGAGGAGUGUGGAAUUCCUGGUGUAGCGGUGAAAUGCGUAGAUAUCUGGAGGAACACCGGUGGCGAAGGCGGCGUUCUGGACUGCAACUGACACUGAGAAACGAAAGCCAGGGUAGCAAACGGG
rnacentral:rRNA from 1 species